rnacentral:lncRNA from 1 species
GGCAGCACGGCUGCUGGCAGAAGGGCGGAGGUUUCUUCCCACUUCCAUCUGUGUGGUCCAGGGUGGGUCAGAAAGUGGCCUCAUGCCUCAGUUUCCCCCCUUGCAGCCCAGGAAUGCUCUCAUCCCGCUGACAGCAACUGCAAUAAAUAACAUCUCUCAAGCACCCGCUAUUUAAAAAAUCUUUUAUUGCUUCCCGUUAAGCUGAUGACUGCUAAUGAGGAGAAUCAAAUUCACUGCCCUGUCGCCAUUAGACAAAUAUGUGCUCCAUCUCCAUCCAAAAACCCCAUUGUAAAUAACUGCGGAGGAGUGGAAUAAACAUCGUCCUUCCCAGGGCAGGGCUGAGCAGCAGGAAUGAGCAAACACAGGUGCGGAAGAUUUGUAAGCUUUAAAAGAGUUUGGGGCUAUUUGGGAAUCAAAUCUGGUUUUGGUUAGGAGCAUCUUCAGCGGAGAAACCCCAAACCACCAACAAGAGACCCCACAGAUGGGGCCGUGGCAGCCGUCUGCAGCUGCAGGCUGGCUGGGGCCGGGGAGGCACAUCCCAGCAGCCUGGUGACACCGAGAUGCAGCGGUCCUGGUGUUGUCCCUGCAUCCUGUGCUUGGCAUCCUCAGACCUCUGCUUGACCCAAAGUCCCCCUGCGUUGGAUCUGCUUCUCUCAGGUGUCACUGCCAACCCCACUUGCCAGGUCUGUGUGCUCUUUGUUUUCUUGCCCUUCUUGGGAACUGUCUGCAGGUUGUGCUUUGCCUCCAUCACCAUCGUGGCUUUUAUCUGCACUGGUAGCAGCGAUCCCACCAUGCAGGAUUUAUUUACAUUGAAGGGUAAGUGGGAGGCUGUAAUUGGGAUGGGAUUUGAAGAGGUCAGAAGAAGCCUGUGCGAGAAAACUGUAGAUGAGGGUGGGCUGGGAGCGUGCCGGCUUGUUAUGCACAUAUCUUUCCAGCUCCACUCAGUGCCAUUAACUGGGGGUAAACGUACUGUCCAGGGACGUAUGUGUAUACAUUAAUGGGGAUUUUUAAACAGUUGAUCGGUAAUGAGCUGCUAAUGCUUUCCAAGCAGACUUUAGAGCCCAUGCUCUGGGAUUUUUGCUUUCUUGAGCAACAUCAUCAGAAUAAGGGGCGUCCUGUAUAUUUAUUCAAUGGUCACCACUCUGUAACGUGCAUGAGAAGUUACUGAAAGUAUCUUGUUUUGGGGACAGGUGAAGGAGAAAUAAAG